GGCACGAGCCCGAGGAGGUGUCUGUGCUACUUUUUCAGACACCGGAGCUGCGUAAAGUCCGCAGGGCAUCCGGUGGGAGCCAAGCCUUCAGGACCCCGCCGCAGGUGCCUUUCUGUGUCAGACCCUCCAGGGGAGAAAUGCGAGCCGCACCGUCAGGGUGAAGACUGUAGCGGGCGCUCGUGCUCCAGAGAUGACCAUGGUCGCGAGGCCUCCCACGAGCCCAUCCCGUGACAGGGACCCGGCAAAAUGGGCAGUGCUCUGCUGGGGCAAGUCACGACUACCGGCCAGGGCCAGGCUGCAGGGCCAGAGCCACGGAGCGCUGUCUCUGAACGCUUGACCUCCCCCUUCCGUGCCUGGUCUGACUCAAGGGGCGGAAGCUGGCCUCCGGGACCGCUGGGAGGCAGAAAGCUGUGGAAGCUAGCCCGAAGCCUCAGCUUCACUUCUACACACGGGGAACCGUUGUUCCUCACAGCAAAGCCGCUCAGGGCAGGCCUAAAUGAAGCAGCCAGGAUGGGCCCAACCGGACAGAGAACCACUCACUGUCUGACCUGAAGACCUAAGGAGAAGCCAUCUGAGCCUGGCUCAGGCCACGGGAAAACUGAGGGGGCGGGGGGCACCGUCUCUUUUGUCCAGACUCUGGUCCUAAGUGUUAAAAAUAACAGGUUGGGAGAUAAGAUAGUGCUGUCUCUGACACCUGCCGUCUCAGGGAGGCUUAUUUUUAAAUCUCAGAGUUAGCCCUGGGCCUGGGAGGAGGGGGAAGGGCAGUGGCGAGGUCAGGAGGCCGCACUCCUUCCCCACUAGGACAUUCUGGUCGGGGGUCCAGGAUGUCUGGCUCUGUCGCAGGCGCAUGAGGAACUCCUGGCAAGCCUCUCUCUGGCCGUACCUUGGUUCCCCUUUCCGUGUGAUCAGCUCU